CUGAGGCGGAGCUGACAUCUGGGAGGAAGCAGAGGACCCCAGGUGAGGAAGCCAUGGUUUAAAGCAGAGAUCACCAACUGCUGGACCACAGACCUGCACGAGUUCACGGCCUGUUAGGAACCGAGCCACACAGCAGGAGCACAUGCUCCUCUGCAGAAAGUGAUGGGGCUGCCUUGCCAGCUGGAGCCUGAAACUGUGCCCAGGUGCCAGCAGGACCAUCAAAUGUAGCUGUCUAGCCAGCAGCUGGAUACAUGGACCGACAGCUCAGAAAGGAGCUCAGUGCUAAACGGCAGUCUGGGAAGACAUCUGCAAAGAGGGCCUGAUGGCAGUCCUGGGAGUGGGUGAGAUCACGAAGCAGGAAGGAGAGAAAACAAGAGGCCAAAGGGCAAGAGUCUCGAGGAUGCCAACACUUACGGGAAGAGAACAAGCAACUGUUGGAGAGAGAAAAGGAAAAUGGGGAAAGUUCAGGAUCCCUAUCGCCAAGGAGGAGGGUUUCAGCAGGGCCAGAUGCUUCCAAGAUCAAGCCCGAGAAGAGCCUGCAAUCCAGCAGCAAUAGGAGGUCACAGGAGUUCUCAGAGGAUCCACGGACUGUGACGUGCUGAGGGCGGAUCCAGAUUGUGCCGAUUAAGAAAGAAGUGGGUGGUGAGAUCCGGAAGCCGCCAGUAAAACACUCUUUGAAGGGCUUUGGCAGCAAUGGGGGGAAGAAAGGAAGGACUGUGGCUCGAGGGGGAGGAGGGAUGGGAGGAAGACUUGUUUUUAGAAUGGGUGAGCUGAGAAUGGAUUUGUAGGUGGAAAAGAAGAAAACAGCCAGAUGGGAAAGGAAGGAGGCAGAGGGCAUUUGGUGGAGCGGAGAAGGCCCCGGAGAAGGAGGGGGAAAUGAACAGAGUACAUUUUUCUAAAGCACACUAAUUGAAGUUGCACAUCCAUGGUAAUAAGAAGUCCUCACAUUUGAAAAGCAAUGAAAUGCAAUCUCCAAAGUAUUUUUAUACACUCUAUCUUAUUUAAUCCGGUGGGAGGUAGAGUACAUUUAUCUCUACUAAAAUGUAAGGAGGUUAAAUGAUUUACCCAAGAUCACCUCGCUCAUCAACAGAAGAACUUGGGGUCAAGCACCUGUUGUGUCAGCACCGUGUGAGGUGCCUGAGAGCCCAGAAGGGACCGAUAGAGGCUCCUGCCCUCAAGGAGCUCAAAGCCCAGGAGACUGAGCUUCCUUCUACUGGCAAAAAUGCCCCAAAACAUAAUGUGCACAGAGGAGGACACUUUUUCAGACCGGGGAAGGGAGAGGAGUGGGAUUCAAGGGAGGCUUUCCAGAAGAGGCGAUGUUUGGGCUGAGCCUGGAAGGAAAAACCGCAAUGACCCGGCUAAGUGGGCGGCGGCAAGAGGAAGUCCACUCCCAGCAAAGGAGGUUUGUGUGCAAGAGCCUGGGGCCUUUGGGAACUGUGAGCAAUUCACUCCGCUGGAACACAGGGUAGGCGUGGCUGGGUACAGGAGAGGAGUGUGCCAAGAUGGGGGUGGGAGGAACAUGGCAGCCACCCUGAAGAAUUCUAAUUCCUUCCUUUUAAACCAGUGAGGCGUUUUGAUCAAGGGAAAGAUAUCAGAUUUGCAUUCUAGAACACUCACUCUGGAGGUCCCCUGGAGGUAGUGCAGAGGAUGGAUUCAAGGAGGAUGUUAUGGGAGGCAGGGAGACUAGUUAAGAUGCAAAUACAGUGGCCUGGGCAAGAAAAGGGGAGGGCCUGGAAGGGGCAGUGGCAUUUGUAAUGGAACAGAUAAUGACUAUCUGUCUGUGAAGAAAGAACUGGUCAGCCUUAGAGGAAGAAUGAGAUGAGGAAAUAGGGAAAGGAAGGGUCUAGGAUGAUUUCCAGGUUCUGGCUUGAACAGAAGCAGGAAGAAAAGCAGAUAUUAGUGAGGAUGGGGAGUUGGGUAGCAAAUAAGUUCAGGACACAUUGAGUUGAGAAGCCUAUGGGACAUCCAGGUGGAGGUGUCCACUUGGAGACAGAGGUCUGGAGCUCCUGGGGAGGCCGACCUAGAGAUAAUCUUUGUGAGUCAUCAACAUAAGUCACCAACAUGAGCCACCAGUGGGGAUGAGUGUUUGGAAGGAGAAGAGAAAAGGGCCUCUCACACAGCCUGGAGGAGCACUGGCAUUUAAGAAGAAGGUGAAAGAAGCCAGGUGUGGUGGUUCACACCUAUAAUCCCAGCACUUUGGGAGGCCAAGGCAGGAGGAUCACUUGAGCCCAGGAGUUCGAGACCAGCAUGGGCAGGAUGGCAAAACCUCAUCCUACAAAAAAUAAAAUUAGCUAGGUGUGGUGGCAUGUGCCUGUAGUCCCAGCUACUCGGGAGGCUGAGGCUGGAAGAUGGUUUGAGCCUGGGAGGUCGGGGCUGCAGUGAACUGUGAUUGCACCACUGCACUCCAAUUGGAGUGGCAGAGCAAGACCCUGUCUCAAAGAAAAAAAAAAAAGGAAGAAAGAAGCAGGUGAAAAGGAGGUUGUGAUAUGACCAGUUGAUAUACAAUAGAUAGUAAAAAAUGUUAAAACUAUUUAAAAACAAAAUGACGUUUUUAAAAAUUGUAAAAAUAGGCUGGUCGUGGUGGCUCACACCUGUAACCCCAGCAUUUUGGGAGGCCGAGGCAGGUGGAUCACUUGAGGUUAGGAGUUCAAGCCCAGCCUGGCCAACAUGGUGAAACCCCAUAUCUACUAAAAGUACACAAAUUAGCUGGGCGUGGUGGCAGCUGUAAUCCCAGCUACUCAGGAGGCUGAGGCAGGAGAAUCGCUUGAACCCAGGAGGCAGAGGCUGCAGUGAGCUGAGAUUGUGCCACUGCACUCCAGCCUGAGCGACAGAGCGAGACUCCAUCUCAAAAUAAACAAACAAAUUAAAUAAAUAAAAAUUAAGAUACAAAAAUUAGCUGGGCAUUGUGGCAUGCUCCUGUAAUCCCAGCUACUUAGGUGGCUGAGUCACAAGAAUAGCUUGAACCCGGGAGGCAGAGGUUGCAGUAAGCCAAGAUCACACCACUGCACUCCAGCCAGGGCGACAGAGCAAGACUGUCUCAAAAAAUUUUUUAAAAAUGGCAAAAAUAGAAAAGAAAAGGCGGUGAGGAGAGGCCAGAGAGGCAGGAGAGAGAAAGUGAUGUAGGAGAAGACAUAGAGCUUGAGGGGGUCCUGUGGGAGGAUGGUACUGAGAGUGAGAAGAGCACCAUCUCGUUUGCUUUCAGGGGGAGGGGAGAUGGCUUCCCCCAGGCUGGUCAGAGAAGGCUUUAGGAAAUAGAAAAAACUGAGAAAAAGAAAAGCCCUUUCAAGCUGAGAAAUGGAAGGGGAGAGGUUUGAGUUCCUCUUCGCUGUGUUUUCUUGACUCUUGCUGCCAUAAUCGGUGCAUUCACAGAAAAUAAAGCCUAGUCUCUGGUGAAAUGUGGAGAAUCAGAUGUUCAAAAUGUUUCUAUUAUGUGCUUCAAAGCCAGACUCGCUGAAAAUGGAGACUAUCCAAUGUGAUCAUGCUGUCCUUAAAAACAUUCCUUUGAUAAACAUUAAACUGUUCUGUUUACCAGAAAUGUUAACAAGGAAAAUAAACAGGGCUAUUUAGGAGUAUUUCAAAAUUAAAGUUUAAAACAUAAGAGAAAACAGGAGGCACACAAAAAAGAAAAAUCCAAAACUUCAUGAACAUUGCAGACCUCAGCUGCCCUUGAAAUCUUUUUCUCUGCCUAACAUUAUGUAAUUCUUCAUCAGCCAAAUAUAUCAGUUUCACAUGCUAAAAUUCACUGUGUAUGUGUCAUACUUAAAGGACAUGGUAUUGAAAGGAAACAAUAAUAUAAAGCUAUGUACAAAGGUUUUGGAACCAAUGCACAUAUAGACCUGAGAGUUAUCUAAAGAAACUUUAAGGAUAUUAUUGAAAAAUAAGUGAGGGGGAACCAGACGUCCCCCUCAGAUGGUGUAAUUGACCCAGGCGCCCUAACUGAUCCUCGUGCUGAAAACAACUAAAAAUUCUGGAUCAAAUACUAAAAAUAUCUUCCUCUAAAUAAAUGAAUGAAAGUAAGGAAUAUUCAGCCAAACCAUGUGACAACAGAUACCCAGAGAGAUAAACAGAGCAAUUGCCAAACCAGUAGCUUUCAGUUUUUAAGACCUUAAGGAGCUCCAGGGACAGAAGACAGAACUCAAGGUCUGCCCAAGAUGGAGAUUCUAAUUGCAUAUUCUCUCACACAGGUGAGACCCUAAAGCUAUACCCUUACUAUUAGGCUAAACUAGAAAUACAUCUGACCACAAGGGGCUAUAGCCAAAAUGGCCUUGGUUCUUGGUACUACAUAAAAGUGAAAAAGGGCCAGGUGUGGUGGCUCACGCCUGUAACCCCAGC
rnacentral:lncRNA from 10 species